rnacentral:misc_RNA from 1 species
AAAAAAUCCAUUAUUUUACUGAUAAAACUCAUUUAUUAUUAGGAGGGGUUAAGCUUAGACAUUUAAAGGUAGGUGCUGAUGGGCAAUGGAAGGGCAAGGAUUACAAUAGCAUUGCCCAUCAAUGCAACAAUUAGGGAAGCCAUUACACACUUGAUUGCAAUCUAUCGUCCUAGGACAUCUUAAAUGAAAUGCUUCUGCUCCUCCUUCAUAUUCCCCCCACAAACCAGAAGAGGCAAGAAAGAAGAUAACAAAAAAUGCUGUCGACUUGAGUGAAAUUCUUUCCAUUGUCUACAAUUGAGAAGAAGUUUGAAAGUUGUGUACAUGAUUUGGCUUUCAAGAAGCUCCUCCUUCUCCUCCUCUGCAAUAUCUAUAAAAGUGAUUUAUGUAUAAAUUUUGGAUUUUAUCAGAUUUUCUUUACUUCUCAACAAAAUCUGGUUCCAUUAAAUGUGAUUUCACCAGAUUUCCCUAUUUAACUUUAACUCUUUGUAAGGGAAGAACCCACCCACCUAUGAUGGGUGGUUACCCUUAACUCAUGGAAAGUUGUCAGAACUCGUCUUAAAUUUGAGUAAAAUAAAUAUAUAUAUUAUGAUUCGAAUCAAUUCUAAAUCUUAUUACUACUAUCAUAAUCCGAAAUUUGGAGAAAUUUAAGUAUGAUAAUAAAAAUUUUAAGAAACAAUUCAGCAUAUCAUACUAAACAUUGACCAAAAUUUAUACAAUUCAAUAUAUAAAACAUGAUAAAAAUAUUACUAAUAUGACGAGAUUAAUUAUAACAUUUGGAAACAAAAUAAUAAAUAAAUUUAUUUGAUCUAGCCUGGUUUAUGUCUAGUGAAUAGGCAUAUCACUUAUAUAAACUUGGAUAUGAGUCCCACUCCUACUUAGAAAUGAAAGACAAUAUUUAUAAUAACAUUUUAACACUAAUCUAAUUAUACCCAUUUAAAUUAUACCAUUUGAAAACAAAAUAAUAAUUUAAUUAUACCCAAUUUGCAGUAACCCAAACAUCUGUGAAAU